AUAAGUUAGUCCAUAGACUGAUAAGGACGUCCAUCAAACUAAAAGGGUUCGUUCUUCGAUGUCUUCAAAUUCGUUCGAAAUCCGUGUCACCUUUGGGAAAC